CGCUCAGAGGUAAACAGGUGGAGUUGAACUGUAAGCUCCGGGGAUUCAGCUGGUGAGUGUGUCAUGAGCUUGGUCAUUUUUGGCCGGCUUCUGGAGUCCGCUUAGCUGCGGGUCCUUGCUCUUUCGGGAGUAGGGAUGUGCGUUGCGCUUGUCAAGUGCUGUGCGCUCUGGAGGUUGCCGGGCUGGCUCGCUAGUGCACUUUCUCGGAGUGGUCACCACGACCGGCGUUGUUGCCUUACUGCUGUAGUCAAACCGGUCAGGUUUGGUCCUUGUGGCUGAAUUUGAUCGGGAUGGCAGGUAGCUCAUUGGUUGGCUUGCUGGCCUUUGGGUGUAAUAGCUGGCUGCAGUGGUUUUGUGCAAUACGUCGGAGACGGCGGCUUCAGGUAUGUGCUUUUGUGUCGUGAGCUGGCAGUGUCGAGUUUGACUGGCGUGUUUACCUGCUUCGGUGGGUCUGUCGGUAGCUCGGUGCUGUUUGGUUUGCGGUUGCAUUAGUGAUGCCGUUCAUGGGCCCAUAGUCUGUGGUGUAGCAGCAAACGAUCCACCUGACCCGUCUUGAAACACGGACCAAGGAU
rnacentral:rRNA from 1 species